UGAGUAACCUGCCCUUAACUCUGGGAUAAGCCUGGGAAACUGGGUCUAAUACCGGAUAUGACUCCUCAUCGCAUGGUGGGGGGUGGAAAGCUUUUUGUGGUUUUGGAUGGACUCGCGGCCUAUCAGCUUGUUGGUGAGGUAAUGGCUCACCAAGGCGACGGACGGGUAGCCGGCCUGAGAGGGUGACCGGCCACACUGGGACUGAGACACGGCCCAGACCUCCGUACGGGAGGCAG
rnacentral:rRNA from 1 species